GACGUAGGGCGCGAGCGUUGUCCGGAUUUAUUGGGCGUAAAGAGCUCGUAGGCGGCUUGUCGCGUCGAAUGUGAAAACUCGGGGCUCAACUCCGAGCUUGCAUCGAUACGGGCAGGCUAGAGUUCGGUAGGGGAGACUGGAAUUCCUGGUGUAGCGGUGAAAUGCGCAGAUAUCAGGAGGAACACCGAUGGCGAAGGCAGGUCUCUGGGCAUUAACUGACGCUGAGGAGCGAAAGCAUGGGGAGC
rnacentral:rRNA from 1 species